rnacentral:ncRNA from 1 species
UGUAUUUGAGGAUAGAAAUGGCAGCUAUCGCCCAUUGUUAGGAGAUACAGGAUUCGUCGCCCUGUCUUAUACA